rnacentral:rRNA from 1 species
UACGGGGGGAGCAAGCGUUGUUCGGAUUUACUGGGCGUAAAGGGCGCGUAGGCGGCCACAGCAAGUCGACUGUGAAAUCUCCGGGCUUAACCCGGAAAGGUCAGCCGAUACUGCGGGGCUAGAGUGCAGAAGGGGCAACUGGAAUUCUCGGUGCAGCGGUGAAAUGCGUAGAUAUCGAGAGGAACACCUGCGGCGAAGGCGGGUUGCUGGGCUGACACUGACGCUGAGGCGCGAAAGCUAGGGGAGCGAACGGG